GACGAACGCUGGCGGCGUGCUUAACACAUGCAAGUCGAGCGGUAAGGCUCCUUCGGGAGUACACGAGCGGCGAACGGGUGAGUAACACGUGAGCAAUCUGCCCUUCACUUUGGGAUAACCACCGGAAACGGUGGCUAAUACCGAAUACGACCACUUCAGGCAUCUGAUGGUGGUGGAAAGCUCCGGCGGUGAAGGAUGAGCUCGCGGCCUAUCAGCUUGUUGGUGAGGUAAUGGCUCACCAAGGCUUCGACGGGUAGCCGGCCUGAGAGGGUGACCGGCCACACUGGGACUGAGACACGGCCCAGACUCCUACGGGAGGCAGCAGUGGGGAAUAUUGGACAAUGGGCGAAAGCCUGAUCCAGCAACGCCGCGUGAGGGAUGACGGCCUUCGGGUUGUAAACCUCUUUCAGCGGGGACGAAGCGAAAGUGACGGUACCCGCAGAAGAAGGACCGGCCAACUACGUGCCAGCCGCCGCGGUAAGAC
rnacentral:rRNA from 1 species